UUAAACGCUGGUACUCUAGUAACAAAAAUGUUCCUGAGUUAUGUGACCUGCUCUAGCAAAUUAAUGGAGCCUAAGGAGGGGUCGUGAGAAUCUCUGGUUUGUAGCCAGAUGGUCAGAAGUACAGGCGGUUGGUUCACUGAAUGCAUAAGGAAAGAAUGAGAAGCUAAGAAGAAAGCGAAGUAAUAAAAGGCCAAAUCUUCAAUCCCUUGGUGAUUGUCAUCUGUACUAGCUAAACAAAAAGUCAGAGAGAAUGCGGCUCGGGCUCUGGUGCUAGCCCAAGCUCAGAUUUCAGUCUAAGCUUCAGCCCCCGGCCUCAAAGCCGCCCCCAAGGAGCUGCGUCCGUGGUCUUUGAGUACUGCCGAGCGGAGGAGCAUGUCUGGUUUGAUCCAGGACUCGCAGCUCACUCCCCAGGUCAAGAUAAAUGCUGUGAUUAAGGGGCCCUCUUUCACGGGGCACCGAAGACAACCUUAUUGUGGCAAAACUGAAAAACAGCUCCGGAAGCCUUAUUGAAUCUGGAGUCUCAGCUUCCCCUCCCGGGUCUUACAGAUGCUAAUGAACAUUAGGGUCAUUAACAAGUGAAUGGGGGAGAUUCCGAGGGCACAGUCCGUGGACUCUUCCCCCACCAGGUGGAAAAUUUUUUAACAGUUGUUUAGAAGUGGGGUGAAGAAAGCAAAUAAUUUAGGAGCAAAACGGGGGAGAGUCACGGGAUUUGUCCCAGCAGGGUGGAAAUCUUUAGAUGGUUAGUAAGAGAUGGGAUGAAUGAAACAGACAUUGAGGGGGUUAAAGCAGAGGUUUUAAUACAGCACUACCGAAGGUAGCAA